UUAUCUAGCUUGCAGUAUUUUAAUUUAAUAGGCGAAGUUCCUAAAAAGUUUAGUGAAAGUUAGUGAAAUACAUUAAUCUAAGGGGAUAAUAUUUAUUUUCUACAAUUUAAGGGAUAAGAUCAUAAGAUUGUGUGAAUAAUGAAUAAAAAGAAGUUAUCUUCUAAUUGAGAUAAGAAAUCUCUGGGUCCAACGUUUCCAACCCAAAAAAUUUGAUUUCUAUCUUUCAAAGCCUUUCAUCUCUUUAUAUAGCAGCUCAUUCUCAACCAAGUUUGUAUCUACCCCAAAACUUCUUCGAUUGUGUCUUCAGACAUAUCCUACCUCAUCACAUAUCUCUAUCUCUCGUUUGACACGUUGUGGACGAGGUGAGAGCAAGAGACAUGGGAUGAGGGUAGAAUAUGCAUAUGUUUUUUUUGUUUGCUCUCAACUAUAUAUGUUCUUAUAUCUACUUCUAAAACCAAUCCUUUGACUGUAUCCUAAGACAACUCUUUGUGCACAUGAUCUAUCGCAUAUCAUGGAUCUACCAAUUUCACUCGCUUGAGACGUUGUGUAGAGGCUCCUCUAGUUGAUACCUUUGUCAGUUAUCCGGUCCGUGUGUGGUACAAAACGGUCGUAUUCAAUUUCAUCUAUCCUUCGAAAACGAAUUAGUCCGAGAAGUAUGUGUGGUAUGAUCGGUUCGAAACGUAACAUGUAUGUUAUCCGUUCUGCCUUGUUGGAUAUAAACCGGAUAAAAUAACAUAAACCGGUCAGAUGGUUAAAUAAUAUCAGAGAAACAAAAAAAAAGUUGGGUUCUUCACCAAGCAGUCGAGCAACUUCUCUCCAUCAAUCUCCUAAGAAGAGAGCUUCUAAAAAGAGACAUAUCUGCCUCCACCCCAGUAAAGGAGCUUUGGAUCGUCGAUUAUGGUUAAUGCCUUAGAUUUGCAGAGUGAUAUUUCGUGUAUACGCACACCAAUUAACCUAAUGUGCACACUACCACAAUCGAAUGGUAUGUCGAUGUAGCACUUUAGGAUCGAAUCCACAGAGACCAACUAUUACACUUUAUCUUUAUAGGAUCAAUAUCAAGCUAAAACAAUAUGGGGGGUUUUAAAGUUGAUUUCGUAACAAGCAAGUAAUAAGAUUAAUUAAAGAUUUUCAGA